AGGAGUUGCGAACGGGUGAGUAACGCGUAGGUAACCUACCUCAUAGCGGGGGAUAACAAUUGGAAACGAUAGCUAAUACCGCAUGACAAUGGAGGACCCAUGUCUUUCAUUUGAAAGGUGCAACUGCAUCACUAUGAGAUGGACCUGCGUUGUAUUAGCUAGUUGGUGAGGUAACGGCUCACCAAGGCCACGAUGCAUAGCCGACCUGAGAGGGUGAUCGGCCACAUUGGGACUGAGACACGGCCCAAACUCCUACGGGAGGCAGCAGUAGGGAAUCUUCGGCAAUGGACGAAAGUCUGACCGAGCAACGCCGCGUGAGUGAAGAAGGUUUUCGGAUCGUAAAACUCUGUUGUUAGAGAAGAAUGAUGGUGGGAGUGGAAAAUCCACCAUGUGACGGUAACUAACCAGAAAGCCACGGCUAACUACGUGCCAGCAGCCGCGGUAAUACGUAGGUGGCAAGCGUUGUCCGGAUUUAUUGGGCGUAAAGCGAGCGCAGGCGGUUUCUUAAGUCUGAUGUGAAAGCCCCCGGCUCAACCACUGUACGCUUUGGAAACUGGAGAACUUGAGUGCAGAAGGGGAGAGUGGAAUUCCAUGUGUAGCGGUGAAAUGCGUAGAUAUAUGGAGGAACACCAAGUGCCGAAGGCGGCUCUCUGGUCUGAAACUGCCGUUGAGGCUCGAAAGCGUGGGAAGCAACCAGGAUUAGAUACCCUGGUAGUCCACGCCGUAAACGAUGAGUGCUAGGUGUUAGGCCCUUUCCGGGGCUUAGUGCUGCAGCUAACGCAUUAAGCACUCCGCCUGGGGAGUACGACCGCAAGGUUGAAACUCAAAGGAAUUGACGGGGGCCCGCACAAGCGGUGGAGCAUGUGGUUUAAUUCGAAGCAACGCGAAGAACCUUACCAGGUCUUGACAUCCUCCUGACCGGUCUAGAGAUAGACUUUCCCUUCGGGGCAGGAGUGACAGGUGGUGCAUGGUUGUCGUCAGCUCGUGUCGUGAGAUGUUGGGUUAAGUCCCGCAACGAGCGCAACCCUUAUUGUUAGUUGCCAUCAUUCAGUUGGGCACUCUAGCAAGACUGCCGGUGACAAACCGGAGGAAGGUGGGGAUGACGUCAAAUCAUCAUGCCCCUUAUGACCUGGGCUACACACGUGCUACAAUGGUUGGUACAACGAGUCGCAAGCCGGUGACGGCAAGCUAAUCUCUUAAAGCUUCUCUCAGUUCGGAUUGCAGGCUGCAACUCGCCUGCAUGAAGCCGGAAUCGCUAGUAAUCGCGGAUCAGCACGCCGCGGUGAAUACGUUCCCGGGCCUUGUACACACCGCCCGUCACACCACGAGAGUUUGUAACACCCGAAGUCGGUGAGGUAACCUUUUUGGAGCCAGCC
rnacentral:rRNA from 1 species